AAAUGUCACAAAAUUGUUUCACCUAGUUCCUUGUCUAUGUAGACAAGGAACUAGGUGAAACAAUUUUGUGACAUUUA
rnacentral:pre_miRNA from 1 species